AGAGUUUGAUCCUGGCUCAGGGCGAACGCUGGCGGCGUGCCUAAUACAUGCAAGUAGAACGCUGAAGAGAGGAGCUUGCUCUUCUUGGAUGAGUUGCGAACGGGUGAGUAACGCGUAGGUAACCUGCCUUGUAGCGGGGGAUAACUAUUGGAAACGAUAGCUAAUACCGCAUAACAAUGGAUGACACAUGUCAUUUAUUUGAAAGGGGCAAUUGCUCCACUACAAGAUGGACCUGCGUUGUAUUAGCUAGUAGGUGAGGUAACGGCUCACCUAGGCGACGAUACAUAGCCGACCUGAGAGGGUGAUCGGCCACACUGGGACUGAGACACGGCCCAGACUCCUACGGGAGGCAGCAGUAGGGAAUCUUCGGCAAUGGGGGCAACCCUGACCGAGCAACGCCGCGUGAGUGAAGAAGGUUUUCGGAUCGUAAAGCUCUGUUGUAAGUCAAGAACGAGUGUGAGAGUGGAAAGUUCACACUGUGACGGUAGCUUACCAGAAAGGGACGGCUAACUACGUGCCAGCAGCCGCGGUAAUACGUAGGUCCCGAGCGUUGUCCGGAUUUAUUGGGCGUAAAGCGAGCGCAGGCGGUUUGAUAAGUCUGAAGUUAAAGGCUGUGGCUCAACCAUAGUUCGCUUUGGAAACUGUCAAACUUGAGUGCAGAAGGGGAGAGUGGAAUUCCAUGUGUAGCGGUGAAAUGCGUAGAUAUAUGGAGGAACACCGGUGGCGAAAGCGGCUCUCUGGUCUGUAACUGACGCUGAGGCUCGAAAGCGUGGGGAGCGAACAGGAUUAGGUACCCUGGUAGUCCACGCCGUAAACGAUGAGUGCUAGGUGUUGGAUCCUUUCCGGGAUUCAGUGCCGCAGCUAACGCAUUAAGCACUCCGCCUGGGGAGUACGACCGCAAGGUUGAAACUCAAAGGAAUUGACGGGGGCCCGCACAAGCGGUGGAGCAUGUGGUUUAAUUCGAAGCAACGCGAAGAACCUUACCAGGUCUUGACAUCCCGAUGCUAUUUCUAGAGAUAGAAAGUUACUUCGGUACAUCGGUGACAGGUGGUGCAUGGUUGUCGUCAGCUCGUGUCGUGAGAUGUUGGGUUAAGUCCCGCAACGAGCGCAACCCCUAUUGUUAGUUGCCAUCAUUCAGUUGGGCACUCUAGCGAGACUGCCGGUAAUAAACCGGAGGAAGGUGGGGAUGACGUCAAAUCAUCAUGCCCCUUAUGACCUGGGCUACACACGUGCUACAAUGGUUGGUACAACGAGUUGCGAGUCGGUGACGGCAAGCUAAUCUCUUAAAGCCAAUCUCAGUUCGGAUUGUAGGCUGCAACUCGCCUACAUGAAGUCGGAAUCGCUAGUAAUCGCGGAUCAGCACGCCGCGGUGAAUACGUUCCCGGGCCUUGUACACACCGCCCGUCACACCACGAGAGUUUGUAACACCGAAGUCGGUGAGGUAACCUUUUGGAGCCAGCCGCCUAAGGUGGGAUAGAUGAUUGGGGUGAAGUCGCAACAAGGUA
rnacentral:rRNA from 1 species